GACGAACGCUGGCGGCGUGCUUAACACAUGCAAGUCGAACGAAGAGCGAUGGAAGCUUGCUUCUAUCAAUCUUAGUGGCGAACGGGUGAGUAACGCGUAAUCAACCUGCCCUUCAGAGGGGGACAACAGUUGGAAACGACUGCUAAUACCGCAUACGAUCUGACCUUGGCAUCGAGGAUAGAUGAAAGGUGGCCUCUAUUUAUAAGCUAUCACUGAAGGAGGGGAUUGCGUCUGAUUAGCUAGUUGGAGGGGUAACGGCCCACCAAGGCGAUGAUCAGUAGCCGGUCUGAGAGGAUGAACGGCCACAUUGGGACUGAGACACGGCCCAGACUCCUACGGGAGGCAGCAGUGGGGAAUCUUCCGCAAUGGACGAAAGUCUGACGGAGCAACGCCGCGUGAGUGAUGACGGCCUUCGGGUUGUAAAGCUCUGUUAAUCGGGACGAAAGGCCUUCUUGCGAAUAGUUAGAAGGAUUGACGGUACCGGAAUAGAAAGCCACGGCU
rnacentral:rRNA from 1 species